UCCUAAUACCAUCCCUAAUGUUUUUGGCUCUAUCAAGGUGGGGAGGUGGGGAAGAGAACACUAGUGGAAUACUCUGUGCACAAAUAGGGAAGUGGACUCAAAAACACAAUGUUCCUCUUCCCCCAGCCUCCACCCAGCUCUGGCUGCGGAAGGCCGCACUCCGCUUGUACCGCGCCUCAUGCACAGUCCAGACUUAUAUAGCAGCCGGAAACCCCAAGGGCAGGAUGAUUCCGAGACGCACCAAAUCUAUAUGUUGAUAUGUUGUACCAAAUUUAUUUCUCCAGCCUAAAUUUCCCUCUCUGGCACUUAGAGCUAAGUGUCAACUUAACAUCUUUACCUGGGUAUCUAACAUGCAUCUUAAAUGUACUAUAAAUGUAAUAGAUGACUAAAUAGUGAUCCUCAGUGAACCAGCCCCACUCCAUGCUCCUUUGCAAUAUGAGUUUGCUGUUCCUCCCUUUUGAGAGGUAUUGCUUUCUCUCCAACUGCUGCUUGAAUCUGGGUUUGCCAGUGACUUGUUUUGCCCAAUAGAACAAAGAACAUGUGCUGUGUACAUUCCAGCACCUAGGCCUUAAAGGGUCUUGUAGUUUCCACUCCUUUACUCUCUUAAAAUUCUGGUGCUUGUAAGAAGCCUGGGCGAGCAUCCUUGCUAUGAGACCAUGAAACCACAUGGAUCUGUCCCAGCAUCCAAGCCUCCAGUCAGACACAGCUGGAGCAGCACACAAGCAAGACCAGAGACCAGCCGCUCAGCCAGCCCCCAGAACUUUGGCUUCAGGUCACAUGUUGCUCUGGAGAACCGAGAAGGGUGAGCAGACACCAGUCAUGACCCCAAACAGCAAGAGGACAGAAAGAUGGGGUUUCGCCAUGUUGGUCAGGCUGGUCUCCAACUCAUGGCCUCAGGUCAUCCACGCACCUCCGCCUCCCAAAGUCCUGGGAUUACAGGCAUGAGCCACCGCGCCCAGCCAGGCUUGCUUCUCUGAGCCAUACCUUUCUGUUGGAACAAGCAUCCUUUCCAUUAAAAGCAAUAAAUCUCCUCUUAUUUAAGUGGCA